AGUGAACGCUGGCGGCAGGCCUAACACAUGCAAGUCGAGCGGCAGCGGGUCCUUCGGGAUGCCGGCGAGCGGCGGACGGGUGAGGAAUACAUCGGAAUCUGCCCUGUCGUGGGGGAUAACCUAGGGAAACUUAGGCUAAUACCGCAUACGACCUACGGGUGAAAGCGGGGGAUCGCAAGACCUCGCGCGACAGGAUGAGCCGAUGUCCGAUUAGCUAGUUGGCGGGGUAAAGGCCCACCAAGGCGACGAUCGGUAGCUGGUCUGAGAGGAUGAUCAGCCACACUGGGACUGAGACACGGCCCAGACUCCUACGGGAGGCAGCAGUGGGGAAUAUUGGACAAUGGGCGCAAGCCUGAUCCAGCCAUGCCGCGUGGGUGAAGAAGGCCUUCGGGUUGUAAAGCCCUUUUGUCCGGGAAGAAAUCGUCUGGGCUAAUACCCCGGGCGGAUGACGGUACCAGAAGAAUAAGCACCGGCUAACUUCGUG
rnacentral:rRNA from 1 species